rnacentral:tRNA from 1 species
CCUGGUGGCUCAGAGGGUAAAGCUCCUGCCUGAAAUGCAGGAGAUCCGGGUUCAAUCCCUGGGUCAGGA